ensembl:processed_transcript Gm11947 predicted gene 11947
UGGAACUUGCUCUGUAGACCAUGCUGGCCUAGAACCCAGAGACCCGCCUGCCUCUGCCUUCCAAAUGCUUGGAGUUAAGGGACGGACACACCAUCUCAUCCAGCUUCUACCGUCCUCCCUUCAAGAACAUGUGGAGAUUGGUGGCCUGAGGAGACAGCUGGUCCAGACUGGUCCGGAGGGUCAAGAUCCAGAGAUACAAUGACUUUGUCUCAUGGGUCCUCAUUUCCAACCCCCAGGAAAAAAAAAUACAAGAUAGGAACUUGGCCAUUUCUAC